rnacentral:rRNA from 1 species
UACAGAGGCCUCGAGCGUUAGGCGGAAUCACUGGGCUUAAAGCGUGUGUAGGCGGACUUCUAAGUACCUUGUGAAAUCCCACGGCUCACCCGUGGAACUGCUUGGUAUACUGGUUGUCUUGAGCCUUCUAGGGGCGAGUGGAACAAAUGGUGGAGCGGUGAAAUGCGUAGAUAUCGGGAGGAACACCUGUGGCGAAGGCGGCUUUCUGGGCCCUACCUGACGCUGAGACGCGAAAGCGUGGGGAGCGAACCGG